CCUACGGGUGGCAGCAGUGGGGGAUAUUGCACAAUGGAGGAAACUCUGAUGCAGCGACGCCGCGUGAGGGAAGACGGUCUUCGGAUUUUAAACUUCUUUUAAGGGGGACGAGCAGAAGACGGUACCCCUUGAAUAAGCCCCGGCUAACUACGUGCCAGCAGCCGCGGUAAUACGUAGGUGGCAAGCUUUGUCCGGAUUUACUGGGGGUAAAGGGCGUGCAGCCGGAGAGACAAGUCAGAUGUGAAAUCCACGGUCUCAAACCGUGAACUGAAUUUGAAACUGUUUCCCUUGAGUGUCGGAGAGGUAAUCGGAAUUCCUUGUGUAGCGGUGAAAUGCGUAGAUAUAAGGAAGAACACCAGUGGCGAAGGCGGAUUACUGGACGAUAACUGACGGUGAGGCGCGAAAGCGUGGGGAGCAAACAGGAUUAGAUACCCCAGUAGUC
rnacentral:rRNA from 1 species